rnacentral:lncRNA from 1 species
AAAACCCUUUACCGACCAAAGAAAGUAAGUAUAUAUUUUCUUUUCAUAUUUUUUUUCUUUCAUGCUUAUUUGUAAGCUAUUUCAGAGAAGCUUUUGUAUAAGCCGAUGCGGUGCUGCCCGCAGUGAAAUGGCCCUCUUGUUAUGUAAAUAUUAUAUUUAUUUAUUAUGACAGCUUCUUUCACGCAACGCUUCUUUAUUUGUCCGAGUAUUUG